GGUCUGUAGCUCAGUUGGUUAGAGCGCACCCCUGAUAANGGUGAGGUCGGCAGUUCAAGUCUGCCCAGACCCACCAAAUUCCUGUGAUGCGGUGUUAAAACACUCCUCGUAUAACAUGAUUAUGCAUUGAGGUGUUUUUCUCGUCUUACGGAAAUUUAU
rnacentral:tRNA from 1 species